rnacentral:rRNA from 1 species
ACGCUCGACACCUACGGGAAGCAGCAGUGGGGAAUAUUGCACAAUGGGGGAAACCCUGAUGCAGCGACGCCGCGUGAGUGAAGAAGUAUUUCGGUAUGUAAAGCUCUAUCAGCAGGGAAGAAGAUGACGGUACCUGAGUAAGAAGCCCCGGCUAACUACGUACCAGCAGCCGCGGUAAUCUGAGCGGGCUGGCAAGGC